GCCGGCGUAGCUCAAUCGGCAGAGCAGCGGAUUUGUAAUCCGAAGGUUGGGGGUUCGACUCCCCCCGCCGGCUCCA
rnacentral:tRNA from 1 species